CAAUAAAUGGUACAACAGCUUGGAACCUGCUUCACAGCUACAUUCCAACACUCUCAAUAUUAUGAGAUAGAUGAGCAUUCAGCCUCCCAAUGCUAUUUCUAGCCCACCAUCCCAAAGCACGGCAACGUCUGUUGCUGAGCCUAUUCCAGGGAUGUUCAUGGAUUUGCAUAAUGAAUAGGGAGCUUCCCAUAAGAACACGGAAUCUCUAGUGAGGAAAUGCAUCAUUCCUUAGCAAUAGCUGAGAAGAGUGGGGCCCCAAUAGCACAUUCCCUGGGAGGCCGAUUCACGGUGGAUGAUGGGACUUCGCGACAAGUACCUACCUACUACCUACCACUUACCAGCAGGACACACAGUGACCGAACGAAGUGCAUCUUGAAGAUGUGACCACAGCUCUCUGAAUUCCGCCACUCACAGCUGAUGACUCUGGACAGAGAGACAGCAAUUAGACGUGUCCUGCCUAAUCUCCAGCUGAAGCGAACACAGACCCGAGUGGGGACUGCGGGCCGGUUUCACACAAGGGAUCAUCCUUUACUGACUCAACUCUCCCAACCAAAUCAAGGGUCUCACUAGAUAGCUCUGGCUGUCCUGGAACUCACUGUGUCUGGAGACCUAGGAUUAAAGACCUGCACC